CUCAUUAUCUACUGUAAAACUACUUAAUUAUAGAAGGGCUUUAAGGUCAAAAGUAAGGCAUUUAUAAGAGGUGAAAUUAAGGGGUUUUGUUUGUAGUG